CUAAAGGGAAACAGCCCAGACAGAGUAAGGUCCUAAAUAAUGUAAGUGAAAUAAGGUAGUUCUAUUAAAUACGACUAGAAAGUAGGCUUAGAAGCGGCCAUUUUUUGAAGACCUCGUAACAGAGCACUGGUUUAGUAAGUAGUUAACUAUUUACAUUGAUAGAAGCACCGAAAAUAUAUCGGAUCUAAACAAUAUACCGACACCUUGUUCAUGUUUAUAAAUAAAGAAAAAAAUAAAGUGGCCAACAAAGUAAGGCUUAACCUGCCUCUUGGAUGCCUUUUUCUUUUUAAGGCAGGCCUUGCCAGCAGGCAGGCCUUGCUUCGCCCAAAAAAAGAGCAGGCAGGCUUUUCCAGCUGGCAGUCCCGUAAGGGUAAGGCUUUGCCCUUGAAUGCUUCGCCCAAAAAAAAAGAGAAGGCUAACCUGCCUCAACUUGCCGGCAAGUAAGGGUAAGGCCUAUUUCUUAUUAAAGGCCUUGCUUCGCUAGAAAGUACUAGCCGGCAAUAAACUAAUAAUAUUAGUUUUUAUUUAUAAAUAAGAGGUAGCAGAACGUUAGGUAGAUCUGACGAUUAAUCUUUUCAAGAUUAAAGAGACAAUAUCCUAAGUGAUAAUGCUGACAUGAGUAACGAUAAAGGGCUGCUCAUAUUACAGCCCUCGCCUAAAGCUUAUGGCUAUAUUAAAGUAACGGCCUCUAAGUUUACACACCUAAAGGAUUAAACGAU
rnacentral:rRNA from 1 species